rfam:Aedes albopictus isolate Foshan contig30831, whole genome shotgun sequence.
UCUUCUGUGGUUUAGUUGGCCAAAGUGCCGGACUAGCGAUACGGAGUUAUGGGUUCGAAUCCCACCUAAAAAA